GGUGAAAUGAGACUGUUUAUUACAUCAGUCGAACCUUCUAGUCCGGUCCUAAUAUAACUAUAUUCAUGUGUCUUCUUAUCUUCUCUCCAUGUUUGCUUGUACGUUUAUUUUUCUUCCCUUGGGUGUAAUCCUUGUCUUGACUCUGCAUCUCUCUUCACGGCUUCUAGUUUUUAUGGUACCCUUAUGUGAUGGCAUCUCAACUGUGUCGCUGCAAAACCCACUUCGCAACAACGCUCAACAUUAUAAGCUAUCGAUCUCCUUUGAUCUACUAUGCA
rnacentral:lncRNA from 1 species